rnacentral:rRNA from 1 species
UACGAAGGGUGCAAGCGUUACUCGGAAUUACUGGGCGUAAAGGGUGCGUAGGUGGUCGUUUAAGUCCGUUGUGAAAUCCCUGGGCUCAACCUGGGAAUGGCAGUGGAUACUGGACGGCUAGAAUGCGGUAGAGGGUAGUGGAAUUCCCGGUGUAGCAGUGAAAUGCGUAGAGAUCGGGAGGAACACCAGUGGCGAAGGCGGCUCGCUGGGCCGAUACUGACGCUGAGGAGCGAAAGCGUGGGGAGCGAACAGG